AUUGCAUGUGCUGAGAACUAUUUGCAUGGUUAUUUCCUCUUCGGUCUUUUUGCAUUCAGAGAUGUCAGGGAUGUGUGAAGAGUGUCACAUUGGCAAAACAGGUUGUACACAGAACAAUAACCUUUCCAGUUGUUAGUGAAACAAAAGUCUCAGACUUAAUGGCUUGUCUCCAUUAGUAAGUCUUCAUUCGCACAUUCAGAAAGAUAUCGCGUUUUUCCAUGUUGCAGGGAGAAAUGCCUUCCUAAACCUGUAUUUCUAAUAUAGUCGAGUCCUCUGUCGAUAUAUUGGUAUCAUCUGUGGGUAUCAUCUGUGGUUGUUCAUCCAGUCUCAAGCGCAUCUAUUUUGAUAAUGUUAGGCCAUAGCCCUACAUCUCAACGUAACUCCGUGUAGUUUCAGUCUACGAGUACUUCAUCUGAUAUUUCGUCAACAGGUCUCUUGCUGUCUCCUGCGUACUAACGUUCGGAGGGAGUAUGUAGUUGGUAACCCGCAGGGUUGCAACCCUGGUAUUUUACUUGGAUAAUCCAUGGAUAUUCACACUUGAUCAUGGCGGAAACUUUCCAUUCAUCCCACCACGGUCAUGUAUGUUGUCUCCUGCAUGUUCAUUUACGUUCGUUGCAAUUACAAACAAAUGUAAUGUCAGUGGAAUAGUAGUGUUUUGAAAUGUUGGUGUAGUGAGUGCUUUAAAUGUAUAUAACCAAAAAUGCCAAUUUGUAGUGUUUUCGGAUGUAAAAACAGGAACAGUAACACGCAAGGUGUGAAGUUUUAUUCGUUCCCAAAAGAAAGCGAUGUACAAAAUAAAUGGAUCGUUGCGUGUGGAAGGAAAGAUGGAUUCAAUCUAAAAACUGGUAAAAUAUGCUCAAUACAUUUUGAAGACAAAUUUAUACAGCAGUCUAUGAAGAACCGUCUUCUUGGUUUGAAACCAAAGAAUGAGAGAGAUUUGACUUCUGAUGCAGUUCCAACAUUAAAUUUACCGCAUACAUUAUCCACUGGCAAAAAAAGAAAAUUUAAUAAUACAGUACGGAGUAACAGAUUUGAAGUUAGAUCAAGAAAAAUAUUAGCAAGGGACAAUUCAACAGCAUCUUGUCCCAUUUCAUUUGAAGAACUGCAAAAAGAAAAUGAUAUACUGAAAAUCAAAAUUAAAGAGCAAGAACAAUACAUUUUCAAACUUCAGGAAGAAAUAAGAUUAUUGAAGGAUGCUAAGAGAACACAAAGGGAAAACUAAUAAUUUACAAAUGCAUCCGCUUCACUAAAGUUAAGAAUGAAGUUAUUUUAAGUGGUGAUAUGAAGGAAAAUGAAAUGGACUGGUGUAGAUAUUCCAUAAAGCAAAAUGUAUUUUGGAACCAAGAAUGAAUUUCCCACUAUCUGCUACCAAGUUCAUGUAUGUUUUGUAGAUGGGCUGAACUUUUGAAUGCUGUGAGGUUGUGUUAACUGAUGUAUUUAUGCUCAUGAAUGCCAGAGGAAAAACCUUGUCAGAACAGGCAAGAUGUCUUAUUGUAUGGUGAAAUCUGAGGGGACAAACGAGUUUUGAAUCGAAAUGGUGAGACCAUGUAGAACUGUGCUAGUAGUUGCAAAUACAUGAUGGUUAGGAGCUGGAAACAGCCAAUUUAUUAUGAAUUGAUGAAGCUGCUAUAAAAGAAUAUUUUAAUUUAAAUUGUUUAUGAACUGCAUCAUGUCAGUUUGUCAUUACGACUGUCAGUGAUCGACGGGACAAAAUAGGUCACCUUUUCAAUUACGAGCUGUUUAUUUUACCAUUUUCAUUUGCACAUAAUCUCUUAAAUGUAUUGAAGGAUAAUCUCCUAGACAAACUCUUCAUAAUAAAUGGAAGAACUGUUUCUGGGAAUCUUUACAACA